rnacentral:rRNA from 1 species
UGGGGAAUAUUGCGCAAUGGGCGAAAGCCUGACGCAGCCACGCCGCGUGAGCGAUGAAGGCCUUCGGGUCGUAAAGCUCUGUGGGGAGAGAAGAAUAAAGCCUGUGAAGAGCAGGCCUUGACGGUAUCUCCUUAGCAAGCACCGGCUAACUCCGUGCCAGCAGCCGCGGUAAUACGGAGGGUGCAAACGUUGCUCGGAAUCAUUGGGCGUAAAGCGCACGUAGGCGGCGUGAUAAGUUGGGUGUGAAAGCCCUGGGCUCAACCCAGGAAGUGCAUUCAAAACUGUCUCGCUUGAAUCUCGGAGGGGGUCAGAGAAUUCCCGGUGUAGAGGUGAAAUUCGUAGAUAUCGGGAGGAAUACCAGUGGCGAAGGCGCUGACCUGGACGAAGAUUGACGCUGAGGUGCGAAAGCGCGGGGAGCAAACAGG